AUUGAACGCUGGCGGCAGGCCUAACACAUGCAAGUCGAACGGAGCGGCGGACGGGUGAGUAAUGCCUAGGAAUCUGCCUGUUAGUGGGGGAUAACGUCCGGAAACGGGCGCUAAUACCGCAUCCUAUCACAUUAGCCUAGGUCGGAUUAGCUAGUUGGUGGGUGAAAGGCCUACCAAGGCGACGAGCCGUAACUGGUCUGAGAGGAUGAUCAGUCACACUGGAACUGAGACACGGUCCAGACUCCUACGGGAGGCAGCAGUGGGGAAUAUUGGACAAUGGGCGAAAGCCUGAUGCAGCCAGGCCGCGUGUGUGAAGAAGGUCGUCGGAUUGUAAAGUACUUUAAGCUGGGAGGCGUUACCAACAGAAUAAGCACCGGCUAACUUCGUGCCAGCAGCCGCGGUAAUUC
rnacentral:rRNA from 1 species